AAAUUUCUACAGGCUCCACCUCCUUUCAUUCAAAUUGAGUUCAUUUUAUACAUGAGCUUUCCCUCAUGGACAUUUUAAUCAGCUGCUCCAUGUACCAAGAAAAUGCUUUGAAACAUAAGCAGACUGCAUCUCUAGUAGAAUCAUUAGUAGAAUGUAGAAUUUGUUGCUGAUUUAUCUCUACCUAGGUAAAAGGCAGAGAUGUGGAUUGUAAAUACAAGAGAUAAACUUGCUAAAAAUUAUAUAACUCGACAUUGUCAUAAAUCCUAUCCAACUCUUUCCCAUGUAGGUACCCCACCACCACCACCCCACCACAAACACACACACACACACACACACACACACACACACGAAGAACACUCAGUAACAUCUUAACAGGAAUGUUAGUGUUGUAAGAAUACAGUUGGAGGAAGUCACAUUGACCAUGGUCAGAACACUAUGAAUUAUAGUAGUUGUAGUACCCAUCGUUUUCUGGAGUGCUGACCUGCCUGCCAGUCCUUGAUUCAAAAGUCAUACUUCUAUUAUAUACAUCUGGUCAACUCAUUCAGGUAUACUACUUAAAAUCAAAGCCUGCUUCUUUGUUAGUAAAAUGAGUACAAUAAAAACCUUAUGUGGUUGUUUUGAAAAUUGAAUGGAAGAAUACAUAUAAAAAGCCUGACAUAGAGUAAUAAACCCUAUUGGUAAUU
rnacentral:lncRNA from 1 species